UUAGGGGAGAGGCCAUGACUCAGUGACAGAGCAUCUGCUUGCAAUGCGAAAAGUUCCAGGUUCAAUCCCUGGCAUCCCUAAU
rnacentral:tRNA from 1 species